rnacentral:rRNA from 1 species
AGUGAACGCUGGCGGUAGGCCUAACACAUGCAAGUCGAACGGCAGCACAAGAGAGCUUGCUCUCUGGGUGGCGAGUGGCGGACGGGUGAGGAAUACAUCGGAAUCUACUCUGUUGUGGGGGACAACGUAGGGAAACUUACGCUAAUACCGCAUACGACCUACGGGUGAAAGCAGGGGACCUUCGGGCCUUGCGCGAUUGAAUGAGCCGAUGUCGGAUUAGCUAGUUGGCGGGGUAAAGGCCCACCAAGGCGACGAUCCGUAGCUGGUCUGAGAGGAUGAUCAGCCACACUGGAACUGAGACACGGUCCAGACUCCUACGGGAGGCAGCAGUGGGGAAUAUUGGACAAUGGGCGCAAGCCUGAUCCAGCCAUACCGCGUGGGUGAAGGAGGCCUUCGGGUUGUAAAGCCCUUUUGUUGGGAAAGAAAUCCAGCUGGCUAAUACCCGGUUGGGAUGACGGUACCCAAAGAAUAAGCACCGGCUAACUUCGUGCCAGCAGCCGCCGUAA